GAUGAACGCUGGCGGCGUGCCUAAUACAUGCAAGUCGAGGGGACGGACGAGCAGCUUGCUUUGCUACUGUUAGCGGCGGGCGGGUGAGUAACACGUGGAUAACCUACCUGUCUGACAUGGAUAACUUCGGGAAACCGGAGCUCAUACCGGGUAAUAUUUUGAACCGAGUGGUGCAAAAGAGAAAGACGGUCUUGCUGUCCCUUAUAGAUGGAUCCGCGCUGCAUUAGCUAGUUGGUAAGGUAACGGCUUACCAAGGCAACGGUGAAUAGCCGCCCUGAGAGGGAGAUGGGCCACGCCGGAGCUGGGACACGGUCCAGAGGGCUAUGGGAGGCGGCAGUAGCGAAUACUGCGCGCUGGAGGGGAGCCUAAUGGAGCAAGGCCGCGUGAGUGAUGAAGGUAUUCGGUGUGUAAGACGCUGUUAUUAGGGAUGAAAAGAUGUGUAAGUAGGGAAGAAGAUAUUGACGGUACCUGAACAGGAAGCCACGGCUAACUACGUG
rnacentral:rRNA from 1 species